AUUGAACGCUGGCGGCGUGCCUUACACAUGCAAGUCGAACGGUAACAGGUCUUCGGAUGCUGACGAGUGGCGAACGGGUGAGUAAUGCAUCGGAACGUGCCCAGUAGUGGGGGAUAGCCCGGCGAAAGCCGGAUUAAUACCGCAUACGACCUGAGGGUGAAAGGGGGGGAUCGCAAGACCUCUCGCUAUUGGAGCGGCCGAUGUCAGAUGAGCUAGUUGGUGGGGUAAAGGCCUACCAAGGCAACGAUCUGUAGUUGGUCUGAGAGGACGACCAGCCACACUGGGACGGAGCCACGGCCCAGACUCCUACGGGAGGCAGCAGUGGGGAAUUUUGGACAAGUGGCGCAAGCCUGAUCCAGCAAUGCCGCGUGCAGGAAGAAGGCCUUCGGGUUGUAAACUGCUUUUGUCAGGGAAGAAAUCUUCUGGGUUAAUACCUCGGGAGGAUGACGGUACCUGAAGAAUAAGCACCGGCUAACUACGUGCCAGCCGCCGCCGUAAUAC
rnacentral:rRNA from 1 species